rnacentral:lncRNA from 1 species
GGUGGUUAAGGGAGGGAGUGAGGGAGGAAGAGGGUAGGAGAAGGUUAGGAAAUAGAUUGAUCCACUAGCCAUUAAUAGAGAGAAGUAGACAGACCCCAGUGCAUUCCCCUAUGGCAACAUCUCUAUCUCUUUAUAACAGCAUCUCUCAGCAUCUCACUGUAUCUCUCAGUGUAUCUCAAAGUAUUUCUAUCUCCAUAACUAGUAACAGUUCUCCAGUCACAGUCACAGCCAGAGUACAUUCCAGUUAGUGCAACCAUACAUAGUUUACACAGAUUUACAUUUCUAUUUCACUACCCAGCAAAACCAAGUAUAUUUUUUUUUCCCUGAGGAAAAUAUGGCCAUUUAAAAAAAUAGAAGAUUUCCAAGCAUUCCAGAUGAAAAGACCAGAUAUUUCAAUUAGCCAUUCAGAAGACUUUCAGAAUGAAUAUCAUUUGACUAAAGGUCAAAUUACAUUACUGAAGAGCCUAAAAUCUAAUCUGGAAGAGAGUGUGGAAUAUCCACAAAUAGCUAUAACUUAAAGAUCAAUGAGUUGCCCAAGUUCUGGAAACUCUGAGAGUCAUCUACACUAAAAGUAAGAAGACAACAAUCAGAACCUCUGUAAAAUGGUGUUCGUAGGCUUCUAAAACGCUCUUGAC